rnacentral:rRNA from 1 species
GAUGAACGCUGGCGGCGUGCCUAAUACAUGCAAGUCGAGCGAACAGACGAGGAGCUUGCUCCUCUGACGUUAGCGGCGGACGGGUGAGUAACACGUGGAUAACCUACCUAUAAGACUGGGAUAACUUCGGGAAACCGGAGCUAAUACCGGAUAAUAUAUUGAACCGCAUGGUUCAAUAGUGAAAGACGGUUUUGCUGUCACUUAUAGAUGGAUCCGCGCCGCAUUAGCUAGUUGGUAAGGUAACGGCUUACCAAGGCGACGAUGCGUAGCCGACCUGAGAGGGUGAUCGGCCACACUGGAACUGAGACACGGUCCAGACUCCUACGGGAGGCAGCAGUAGGGAAUCUUCCGCAAUGGGCGAAAGCCUGACGGAGCAACGCCGCGUGAGUGAUGAAGGUCUUCGGAUCGUAAAACUCUGUUAUUAGGGAAGAACAAAUGUGUAAGUAACUAUGCACGUCUUGACGGUACAUAAUCAGAAAGCCACGGCUAACUACGUG